AUUAGGGUAGCUAGCCCGGAAAACGCAAAGGACUUAAAAUCUAAUCACGAAGGUUCAAAUCCUUCCCCUAACC
rnacentral:tRNA from 1 species